rnacentral:miRNA from 1 species
CCUUCCCUGACGUAGAGGCCGGCC